CAGCCCUAAACGAUGCGCGUUAGGUGUAUCGGUGACCACGAGUCACCGAGGUGCCGUAGGGAAGCCGUGAAGCGAGCCACCUGGGAAGUACGGCCGCAAGGCUGAAACUUAAAGGAAUUGGCGGGGGAGGCACAACAACGGGUGGAGCUUGCGGUUUAAUUGGACUCAACGCCGGGAAGCUCACCGGAUAAGACAGCGGAAUGAUUGCCGGGCUGAAGACCCUGCAUGACCAGCUGAGAGGAGGUGCAUGGCGUAGUCGUGU
rnacentral:rRNA from 1 species